rnacentral:lncRNA from 1 species
ACAUUCCCUUGUUUAUCUAGGGGAAAUGCCUCACAAUGCCAAACAUUUGACUUACAAAUUCCCUUUCUGAGAACAAUGCCCUUUCAUGAGUUGGGGACAUUCUGUACAAACAAUGGCUGGUCAGCUGUCACAGUUCUCAGGACAGGAGGUAGGGUGUCAUCCCCACAGAGUGGGGUGUGCUUAGAAACUCAUCUCCUAGUGUUUGUUAGAGACACAUAAGCAUACAAGAGGUGACUGGUCCAAACCCAUCCAGAGGAACAUGCCCUGUGCAUGUGACAGUCACAGGUCCUAACAGCAUAUCACCUAGCCUGUACUCUGAGCUGAAGAACACUGGGUAACUGUGACCUCCCCUGAGGUCACAGUAACACACUUUCAGAUAUUAUCCAGGGCAACAAUGUUAAGAAAAAAUUAACUCCCAAGUAGCACACUUAAUCAUUUUUCCUGCUUAUCUUUUGUUUUUCUUAAGACUUUAUUUUUAAAUAAUCUCUACAUCCAGCGUAGGGCUCGGACUCACAACCCCAAAAUGGAGAGUAGCAUGUUCUACCGACUAAGCCAACCAGGCACCCCCCCAUCCCCCACCUGUCUGUGUUUUGACAAUACAGGAAUAGAGAAAAUCUUUCAGAUGUGCCACAUAGAGCAGUGUUAACCACAGUCAUCGUGCUGUCAUUACGUCCCCAGGGCUCAUUUACAAAACCCGGGCUUCUUCCAAACCCCAAUUUGUAAGUAGAGUUCUAGGCAGACACAGAUUAAGAUUUUGUGGGGCUUAAAGGCUAUACAAUGGAGGUGGAGGAGACAAUAAAAAAUUACGAAUAGCAAGAGAGAUAUCCUGAAGCUUAAACUUCACUUUACAGACAAGCUAACUCUGGUUCUAGGGAAAGCAUCCAGAAGAUUCCAUGAAAAUCUUACAGAGCCUUAAAUUGCUUUUUGUAAAACAUUCUCACUCCUUCGCGCCUUAACUGAAUUCCGGAUUUUCCCUGACAAUGUCUUCUAAUUGAGAAACUCACCAGGGCGGUGCCUGCCUGCGUGGCUCAGGCGUUAGGCAUCUGACUUCUGCUCUGGUUGUGACCUCACAGUUCGGGAGUUUGAGUCCCACAUCACGUGAGUUCCACCUCAGCCCUGGGGGAGCCCCACUUCUCAAUAUUUCUCUCUCUUUCCCCCUCCUGGGAUUCUCUCACUCUCUCUUUGCCCUUCGUUCAAUCUCCUCCUUCAUCCCCCCCCCCCACCAAAAGAAAGAAAGAAAGAAAGAAAGAAAGAAAGAAAGAAAGAAAGAAAGAAAGAAAGAAAGAAAGAAAGACAGACUCUCCAGGUCAUGCGCAGUGAGGCGUCUGCAUAUCCUGAGGCUACAGCUGGGACCUGCUAACAGCCCCUGCUCCAGUGAGGGAUCGGCUGCCGCAAGGAAGUAGCUGAUAUCUGCCGUAACUACAGCUGAACUUGCCCUAACCCUUGGAUGCUGCCCUUUUUAGAUCCAGCCUCUGCCGGUGUGUCUGUUUCUUCAGUCCCGUUGCUCUACUCUUGUCCACAAACCUACAUAUCUGAAACAAUACACUUCUACUAUGACAACGUAAAUACAGUAAAUAUAAAAAACAAG